AUUUGGAUAGCUUAAUUUAAAGUUUAAUAUUGAAGAUAUUAAGAUAGUUUACUUAUACUUCUGAAUA
rnacentral:tRNA from 1 species